rnacentral:rRNA from 1 species
ACGCUCGACACCUACGGGAGGCAGCAGUGAGGGAUAUUGGUCAAUGGGGGAAACCCUGAACCAGCAACGCCGCGUGAGGGAUGACGGCCUUGGUUGUAACCUCUGUCCUCUGUGAAGAUAAUGACGGUAGCAGAGGAGGAAGCUCCGGCUAACUACGUGCCAGUAGCCGCGGUAAUCUGAGCGGGCGUGGCAAGGC